rnacentral:rRNA from 1 species
CGUGCUAAUCUGCGAUAAGCGCCGGUAAGGUGAUAUGAACCGUUAUAACCGGCGAUUUCCGAAUGGGGAAACCCAGUGUGACUCGUCACACUAUCAUUAACUGAAUCCAUAGGUUAAUGAGGCGAACCGGGGGAACUGAAACAUCUAAGUACCCCGAGGAAAAGAAAUCAACCGAGAUUCCCCCAGUAGCGGCGAGCGAACGGGGAGGA